rnacentral:rRNA from 1 species
UACGUAGGGUGCGAGCGUUACUCGGAAUUACUGGGCGUAAAGCGUGCGCAGGCGGUUUUGCAAGCCGGGUGUGAAAUCCCCGGGCUCAACCUGGGAAUGGCAUUCGGGACUGCAAGGCUGGAGUGCGGCAGAGGAGACUGGAAUUCCUGGUGUAGCAGUGAAAUGCGUAGAUAUCAGGAGGAACACCGAUGGCGAAGGCAGGUCUCUGGGCUGACACUGACGCUCAUGCACGAAAGCGUGGGGAGCAAACAGG